AAUCCAUGUGUCGGACACUUCUGAAUUAAGUCUUUAAAUCGUUCCCAAGCUUCAUAUAGUGUUUCAUCAUCUAGUUAUCAAAAAGAUGUGGUGUCAUUUCUAGGUUU
rfam:Gossypium raimondii chromosome 5, whole genome shotgun sequence.